AUUAGAAUAGUUUAAAUAAAACACUGAUUUGUGGUAUCAGAGAUUAAUUAUUAUUUUAAUU
rnacentral:tRNA from 1 species